CGCACGGGUGAGUAACGCGUAGAUAACCUACCCUUCAGCCUGGGACAACGUCGAGAAAUUGGCGCUAAUACCGGAUAACAAUGAGAGUCUAAUGGCUUUUAUUUGAAAGAUUUAUCACUGAAGGAUGGGUCUGCGUACCAUUAGUUUGUUGGUGGGGUAAUGGCCUACCAAGACUACGAUGGUUAGCGGGUCUGAGAGGAUGAUCCGCCACACUGGAACUGAGACACGGUCCAG
rnacentral:rRNA from 1 species